UGCUUUUCUCAAGUUAUCCAGUGGUCCAAUCAUCACCCAGGUUUUCUUUAUUUUGGCUGGUACAAAAUCAGGAGAAGGGACGGUUAUAACCCGAAACAGGGAUGGAUUUGUUGAUGCUCGAUUUCUGGAUAAUGGAAAAGGAAAAUGGUUCCUUGUACAAACUAAUUACGACCACUGGAAAUUGCCACCUAGAUUUGAUGAUCGCAGAACACCUGCAACUGAGGCUAUGAAUUGCCACUGGGUCAGAAAAACAUCAGUAUG